CGUCUUCCCCGCUGCACCUGUCCUCCUUGACCAAUAGCCUUGCGCUUUUCAUAGCUCUCUCCUUAACCACUUACGUCUCCCUCACCCAGCCUCACUCCUCAGCGCCCCGUUGUCAGAAUUCUUUCCCAGACUCUUCCCCCACGGGAAUACCUCCCCUUUUCACUGGGGGGUGAAAAAAAACAGGACUUUGGGGGAUCCCAUUAUUGAAGAGCUCCCAAAAAACGAGUCUGAGAAGUUGUUGUAGAGGAACACAGGAGAGUGUUCAGCUGAGUCCUGAAAGUCAAGAGGGCAGUCACGUGCUGACCCGAGGCCUGAAGAGGAAGGAACUUUUGGGGUUUCUGGCCGACAGAGAGAUCAAGAGAGGGUCAGCCGGCAAGUGUUAGAACUGGAACUGAAACCCAGAUCCACUCGACUCCCAAGCGACUUCGGUCAUCUAGAGAGAACACCCAGAAGUCAUUCCCUGCAACCUCACCAAGGGAGCCAGUCACCUCGAGGCCUCAGGGAAGGGCCACAGCUCUCUCCCCUCUGGAGAUAGCUUUCUUUGACCUCUCCCCGACUCUGACAGAGGCCAAGACCCAAACCACGAGAGGCUUUUUCAAAAUAAGGGAGCUUCUGAAACAGCCUACCAAAAUAAACAAGGGUUGUUCAU